CUAUCCUCACUGAAUCUACAAUGUUUCAUUCGAUUUUUAUUUAUUGCGUUUGACCUUUGACAAAUCCCAUGAUUUUUUGCGUUUUUCGGAAUAGGGAACUUGCUUAUUCACUGGAUGAAUUUAAAAGAGAUUUGGAUAGAGCUCUUGGGGCAAGCGGAAUCAAGAGGCAUGGGGAUAAGGCAGGCAUGGGUUUCUGAUUGUGGAUGAUCAGCAUAAACACAAUGAAUGGCUCUAAGGGUCAAAUGGCCUCCUGCACCUAUUUUCUAAGUUUCUAAAAUAGAAUAUUCAUACACUGCCACAGAUGGCAGCAGACUCUGUUAUCUCUCCUUUGGGGCCAUUUUUCAAUCUAACGGAUAGGAAAGAUUUAGAGGGAUAUAGGCCAAAUGCAGGAAAAUGGGAUGGGACACCUUGGUUGGCACGUACAAGCUGGUCGAAUGGCCUGUUCCCGUGCUGUAUGAUUCUAACUCCAUGACUCGAUAAAUAUACAGACCCAGCAUACAUAAUGGUAGAGGGGAAUGUAGUGAGGCACAAGUGUCAGCAGGUUGAAUGACAUUGAGGCACAUUGAAUCCAAGCCCGAACCUGAAGCCUGCAGGUAAUAUAAGCAAGUGUUUAGCUGACCUCAGUUUGUGAUUUGAUCCUGUACAUUGGCGAUGUUAGCAGGCAAGCUUGGUCUAUCAAGGAUAGACAGAAAAUGCUGGAGUAACUCAGUGGGUUAGGGAGCAUCUCUGGAGGAAAGGAAAAGGUGAUGCUUCAGGUCAAGACCCUUCUUCAGACCUGGCAGUAUUUUGUAUCUAUCUUUGGUGUAAACUAGCAUCCGCAGUUCCUUCCUACACAAGCUUGUUCUAGCCAUUGACAAUGAUCACAAAUGGAAAACCCGUUCAUAGUACAGGCAGUAAAGGUGAACUUGUAUGAAAUGGGAAAGAGGGAUUGAUCACAUUGAGUUUGGAGAAUGAAGAGGACAGGCAAGAAUAUCGGUGAUGGGUGGGAAGGAAAUCAUGCAAGAGAAUUAAAGCAGUUUAAGUUGAAGUGAUGAAGGAUGCGUGCCAUUUUAAUGUUGAGGAUUGGGUGUAGAAUGAUGUGUGAACAGGUUUGUGAUUCAUAAGUUUAGAAAUUCACACUGAGCUGGGUAACUUGAAAUUAUGACAUUUCUGUGAACUGGGGAAAUUAGUUAAUUUAAAAAAAAACACCAGGAUCUUUGAGGAAAGGAUUAUCAGGUUAGCCUCAGAUCCCACAUCACAAUUGUGAUUUCAAAACAAAUAAUCGUCAAUGAAGCAAAAAUAUAGAGAAAUGUUACGAUGGCCCUAUUACAAUAGACAAUAGGUGCAGGAGUGGGCCAUUCGGCCCUUUGAGCCAACACCGCCAUUCACUGUGAUCGUGGCUGAUCAUCCACAAUCAGUACCCUGUUCAUGCCUUCUCCUCAUAUCCAUUGACUCCACUAUCUUUAAGAGCUCUACCUAAGUCUCUUGAAAACAUUCAGAGAAUGGGCCUCUACUGCCUUUUGAGGCAGAGAAUUCCACAGAUUCACAACUGGGUGAAAGUGUGCACGUUGCGGUGUAUCGGUUUUGCAUUGAAGGUGCUGUGGAAUUUAUCUUGAUUUUUAAAAAAAAACAUGUUCCUGUUUCAUGUUUCAAAUUAACAAAGUAAUAAAUAGGAUUACAGAGUUCUAAGAAUCGCAUAGGCACCUGAUGCAAGUGAUGGCUCUAGCGUAAGAAUGUAAUAAGCAAAUGUAGCAAACACUAAAGCAUUUAAACAAAGUUGGCCUGUGGGAUGCAUUCCUUUGGCGUACUUCAGUGACCAUGCCAAUCUAAGCACGUCCCUUCCCUAGUACUUAAUGAAGGAAAUUCAAAGUUGAUUCCUGAUUGUCAAAUGAGGCCUACUUGUUAACUACAUUAGACCUUUACAUAAAAAAAUGGUUUGAUAACUGCUUUACCCAAGCCCUAGUGUUUCUGGUUGUCAAAUAACUUAGAAUGUGUCCGAAACACAGAAAAAUAUUACAACGGUAUUAAAAAUAGUGCCUUUUAAAAACUCAUGCUAACAUUUUAAUUGAAAUGUGCCAUUUUUAAAUUACACUUAACAUCAGAAAAUAUUCAAUUAGCAGGUCAGUAAUUAGUGAAUGUAACACGGACCAGCAAUUUGUAGCUUAAUUGAAAUUUGCUUCUCUCCCUGAAACCCAUUUUGUCCACGGAAACAAAAGGAGUGGCUAAGACCAGCACCAGAUUUCCGAGUUUAAGUGCAGGAAGGUUUUGUUCUCAUUCUCGUCAACACGAGGAACCAUUUCUGGACUGCGGUUAGAACGGUAUCAGCAAAUUCUGCACUCAGGAAAUUAUGGAAAUUUGUAUUCAUAUCAGUGCCUUGGCUCCAUCUACACUUUGCAUUAUCAAAUGCACCAGCAUGACCUUCAUUGUGUCAGCAUGGUAAAGCUUUGACUUUGAAUUUAUACUUUGACAUUUUGUGGAGAAGCUAUGUCAACUAUCCAAGCCACUUAGGUUCAGGUUAAUUCUGCCUCAGGAAAGCAGCCAACAAGUCAGGCAGUAGAUACAGAAGCUUGAAAGUGUGCAUCGCCAGACUCUGGAACAAAUUUUCCCCCUCUGUUAUCAGACUUCUAUAAACUUGGGUACAGUUCCGAUUCUCCAACCUACCUCGUUGCAAACAUUGGACAUUCUGUCUGGAAAUAUUACGCGACAAUGCUAAGAACUAUAUUCUCUUUCUUCUACCUUUUGUCUUGAAUUUGUUUUGAAUAUAGUCAUAUAUAGUAUCUGAUUUGAUUGCUUAGCACACAAACAAAAGUUUCUCACUGUACCUUUGCACAUGUGACAAUAAUAAAACUGAACCUAAAUGGCUUGGAUUAUCGACUUCACUUCUCCACAAAUGUUGUGCACUGCAGUCCUAAAGUCAAGGUAUACAUUCAAAGUCAAACCUUUACCAUGCUGACAUGAUAAACGACAUGCUCAUUGUUUGAUUAUGCAAAUGGAAAGCUGCAUCCUGAGUUACAUCAUUUAAUUUUUGCCCCAAAAUAACCAAGGUAUGCAUUGUUAAAAUGAAUUGCAGUUUGCACAUGGCAUAAUUAACAGGGAAAGCUGCUCCAAAAGUUGUUUUUUUAAUUUUCAAUUAAUAAUAAUAUGGAAGCUUUUGACAUUUAGUUUAGAGACACAGCACAGAAAUAGGCCUUUCCGCCCACUGUUUCCAUGCUGACCAGCUAUCUCUGCACACUUACACUAUCCUACACACAUUAGGGACAAUUUACAAUUAUACCAAGCCAAUUGAAUGAAUAAAAAAAAACUAUAUAUUAGCUAAGAAUUUAUACAUACAAUGAAUUUGCCUUGGUACUUUGUUCGCAAAAGGAUAAAAACACAAUAUACAGCAAACAGUUAAAAAUAAAAUAUAA